CCUACGGGAGGCAGCAGUGGGGACUAUUGCACCAUGGUGGGAACCCUGAUGCAGCGCCGCCGCGUGGGUGAAGGAGUAUUUCGGUAUGUAAAGCCCUAUCAGCAGGGAAGCACAAUGACGGUACCUGAAUACGAAGCACCGGCUAAAUACGUGCCAGCAGCCGAGGUAAUACGGAUGGUGCAAGCGUUAUCCGUAUUUACUUGGUGUAAAGGGAGCGCAGGCGGAGGGUUAAGCCUGGUGUGAAAGCCCGCGGCCCAACCGCGGGACGGCAUUGGGAACUGGCGCGCUGGAGUGCCGGAUGGGUAGGCGGAAUUCCUUGUGUAGCGGUGAAAUGCGUAGAUAUUAGGAGGAACACCAGUGGCGAAGGCGGCCUACUGGACGGUGACUGACGCUGAGGCUCGAAAGCGUGGGGAGCAAACAGGAUUAGAUACCCGAGUAGUC
rnacentral:rRNA from 1 species